rnacentral:rRNA from 1 species
UACGUAGGGGGCAAGCGUUGUCCGGAAUCAUUGGGCGUAAAGCGCGUGUAGGUGGCCAUGUAGGUCCGCUGUGAAAACUUGAGGCUCAACCUCAAGCUGUCGGUGGAAACCACAUGGCUAGAGUCCGGAAGAGGAGAGUGGAAUUCCUGGUGUAGCGGUGAAAUGCGCAGAUAUCAGGAAGAACACCAAUGGCGAAGGCAGCUCUCUGGGACGGUACUGACACUGAGACGCGAAAGCGUGGGGAGCGAACAGG